rnacentral:rRNA from 1 species
AGAGUUUGAUCAUGGCUCAGGACGAACGCUGGCGGCGUGCCUAAUACAUGCAAGUCGAGCGGGACUCUUCGGAGUCCAGCGGCGGACGGGUGAGUAACACGUGGGCAACCUGCCUGUAAGACUGGGAUAACACCGGGAAACCGGUGCUAAUACCGGAUAAUUCUUUCUCUCACAUGAGGGGGAGCUUGAAAGACGGCGCA